AGAGAAAUAGAAAGAAGGGAAAUAGAAAGAAGUAGAGAGAAGGAGGAGAAAAGAGAAGAAAAGAGAGAAACGUUAGGGUUUGGAGGAGGAAGAGGAAAUUGGAGAAGAAGAGCAUCAUCUUGAUCAACCCAAGCUUGCUAGAACACUAUAGAGUAACUCAAUCAUCAUCUAAAGGUGCUCCGCGUUGAGAGGAGGAUAGUGGUAGCACACUUUUGGCGUCAUUACUCUGAUUAGGAUUGUAACACUCAGGGGUUAAUGAACGCUUUUCAUGAUUUUGAUAGUAACAAUGCCCUUUUGUAUAUCAUUGUAUAUGAUAGUUGUGAUGGGCAUUUGUUUGCUUGUUUUCUUUGAAUGUGUAAAUGUACGACUCGACUUAAUUAUCUAAAUGAUUUCCGUUGCGAUUUUUUUGUGUAUUGCUGCUAUAUGGACUAGGUGAAUCCAUAUACAGUGUUGUUUAUUAUUUAACAAGGACUAAGUGGAUCCUUGCGCAA